rnacentral:rRNA from 1 species
GACGAACGCUGUCGGCGUGCUUAACACAUGCAAGUCGAACGGAAAGGCCCUGCUUGCAGGGGACGCUAGAGGGGAACGGGUGAGUAACACACGGGAGAUCUGCCCUGCACUUCGGGAUAAACCUGGGAAACUGGGGCUAAUACCGGAUAGGAGACAUUUUGAGAGUGAUGGGUGGAAAGAUUUUCGGUGUAGGAUGAGCAUCGGCAGCCUAUCAUCUUGUUGGUGGGGUAAUGGCCUACCAAAGCGGCGACUGGAAGCCGGCCUGACAGGGUGGACGGACACGUUGGGACUGAAAUACGGCCCAGACUCCUACCGGAGGCAACAGUGGGGAAUAUUGCACAAUGGGCGCAAGCCUAAUGCAGCGACGCCACGUGGGGGAUGACAGCCUUCGCCGUUGUAAACUCCUUUCGCUACGGACGAAGCUAUUUGUGACGGUACCUAGAUAAGAAGCACCGGCUAACUACAUGCCAGCACCCGCGGUAAUACGUACGGUGCGAGCGUAGUCCGGAAUUACUGGGCGUAAAGGGCUCGCACGUGGGUUGUCGCGUAAUCUGUGAAAUUCCGGGGCUUAACUCCGGGGGUGCAGGCGAUACAGGCAUAACUUGAUUACUGAAGGGGUAACAGAAAUUCCUGCUGUAGCGGCGAAACGCGCAUCUAUACAGAGGAACCCCGAUGGCGAAGGCAUGUUACUGGCCAGUUACUGACGCUGAGGAGCGAAAGCAUGGGUAGCGAACAGGAUUAGAUACCUUGGUAGUCCAUGCCGUAAACGGUGGGCGCUAGGUGUGACGGUCUUUUCACGACUUUCGUGCGGUAGCUAACGCAUUAAGCGCCCCGCGGGGGGAGUACGCCCGCAAGGCUAUAACUCAAAGGAAUUGACGGGGGCCCGCACAAGCGGCCGAGCAUGUGGAUUAAUUCGAUGCAACGGGACGAUCCUUACCUGGGCCUGACAUACACCGGAUUGGGCUAGAGAUAGUCUUUCCCUUUGUGGCUGGUGCACAGGUGGCGCAUGGUUGUUGUCAGCUCGUGUCGUGAGAUGUUGGGUUAAGUCCCGCAACGAGCGCACCCCUUGUCUUAUGUUCCCCGCAUUUGGUUGGGGACUCAUGAGAGACUGCCGGGGUCAACUCGGAGGAAGGUGGGGAUGACGUCAAAUCAUCAUGCCCCUUAUGUCCAGGGCUUCACACAUGCUACAAUGGUCGGUACAACGCGCAGCGACCCUGUGAGGUGGAGCGAAUCUCUGAAAGCCGGCCUUAGUUCGGAUUGGGGUCUGCAACUCGACCCCAUGAAGUCGGAGUCGCUAGUAAUCGCAGAUCAGCAAUGCUGCGGUGAAUACGUUCCCGGGCCU